rnacentral:misc_RNA from 1 species
UACGGAGGGGGCAAGCGUUAUUCGGAAUUAUUGGGCGUAAAGGGCGCGUAGGUGGCCUGUCAAGUCAGGGGUGAAAGCCCUCGGCUCAACCGAGGAAUUGCCUUUGAGACUGACAGGCUCGAGGCCGGGAGAGGGUAGUGGAAUUCCAGGUGUAGCGGUGAAAUGCGUAGAUAUCUGGAGGAACACCAGAGGCGAAGGCGGCUACCUGGACCGGUUCUGACACUGAGGCGCGAAAGCGUGGGGAGCAAACAGG